AGAGUUUGAUCCUGGCUCAGAACCAACGCUGGCGGCGUGCCUAACACAUGCAAGUCGAGCGAGAAAGGCCGCAAGGGUGAGUAAAGCGGCGCACGGGUGCGUAACACGUGGGUAAUCUGCCCGGAAGUCCGGAAUAACUCCCCCAAGGGCGUGCUAAUGCCAGAUAAGACCAUCGGAACCUCGGUUCCUGCGGGAAAAGGUGGCCUCUGUAUACGAGCUAUCUCUUCCGGAUGAGCCCGCGUCCCAUCAGCUAGUUGGCGGGGUAAUGGCCCACCAAGGCUACGACGGGUAGCUGGUCUAAGAGGACGAUCAGCCACACUGGAACUGAGACACGGUCCAGACUCCUACGGGAGGCAGCAGUGGGGAAUAUUGGACAAUGGGGGAAACCCUGAUCCAGCGAUACCGCGUGGAGGAAGAAGGCUCUUGGGUUGUAAACUCCUGUCAUAGGGGACGAAGAUUGCAACGUGAACAACGUUGCCGUUUGACGGUACCCUAGAAGGAAGCAUCGGCUAACUCCGUGCCAGCAGCCGCGGUAAUACGGAGGAUGCAAGCGUUGUUCGGAUUUACUGGGCGUAAAGUGUGUCUAGGUGGGAUUGUGUGUCGGGUGUGAAAGCCUCAGGCUCAACCUGAGAAUAGCGCCCGAAACUGCAGUUCUUGAGUGAUGGAGAGGUGAGUAGAAUUUCUGGUGUAGCAGUGAAAUGCGUAGAUACCAGAAAGAAUACCAGAAGCGAAGGCGGCUCCCUGGCCAUAUACUGACACUAAAGCACGAAAGCGUGGGUAGCAAACAGGAUUAGAUACCCUGGUAGUCCACGCUGUAAACGAUGGGUACUAGAUGUCGGGGGAAUUGACCCCCCCGGUGUCGAAGCUAACGCAUUAAGCACCCCGCCUGGGGAGUACGGUCGCAAGGUUGAAACUCAAA
rnacentral:rRNA from 1 species